rnacentral:lncRNA from 1 species
AGCUCCAGUGUUUAGCCCUGUUUGAUAACAACUUAUGAAUUAGCCUUUCGCUUUUUGACCAAGUCAAAACUUUAGUCUAUUAAUUGCAGUGUUCGGUAAUAUAACUUUUAAAAUACCUUUUAGAAGUUGAGAGAGCUUUUUAUGAUACAUUAAACAUUAUGACUAUGUUCGACAACAGCUUUAUAAAUAGCUUUUAGUGUUUU